rnacentral:antisense_RNA from 1 species
UUUCGCGUUCGGGUUGUUAUCAACAAUCGCGUUGCCCACCGCAUGCAGCAAGUGAGUUUUACCCAAACCGGUGCCGCCAUA